CCAGGCUGCGCAGCCUCUCUAUCUCAGAGGCCUCAUUAGCCAUGUAAGCAAGCUGGCCCUCAAGCUUUGCCUCCCUCUCUUCCAUCUCCCUCACCAGGCUGCGCAGUCUCUCUAUCUCAGAGGCCUUGUUAGCCAUGUAAGCAAGCUCGCCCUCAAGCUUUGCCUCCCUCUCUUCCAUCUCUCUCACCAGGCUGCGCAGUCUCUCUAUCUCAGAGGCCUCGUUAGCCAUGUAAGCAAGCUCGCCCUCAAGCUUUGCCUCCCUUUCUUCCAUCUCUCUCACCAGGCUGCGCAGUCUCUCUAUCUCAGAGGCCUCGUUAGCCAUGUAAGCAUUGUACCGUGGCCGUCCAUUGACAUCAAACCGAUCACGUGGUAUAGGGAUGUCAAUGUCUCCUGACAGG
rnacentral:lncRNA from 1 species